rnacentral:lncRNA from 1 species
UCCAGGAAUGACACUCAAUUGAAUCAAAUCUUCACCUCCUAUCUAAGUGGCAAGACUUGAUAUCAUUUGAGCUAAUACUAAGUAAUAUGCACCCUAUUAUUAUUAUGGGAUUGAUGAUGAACAUUAUUAUGAAAAUUAUUAUCAUCAUGAAGCAUCGUAAGAAGCAUCAUAUGAAUUUUUUUAGGGGCCAAGGAUGUGCGACUCCAUCAGUUUGUUUGUCAUUAUUUGUCACUACUUGAUCUUCAAUGCAUUGUAUGAAAGGAUAUGGAAACGACUC